rnacentral:rRNA from 1 species
UAGAGCGACUAGCUUGCCAGCCUGCUGGCCUGCGAGUACCUUCUCUGUCUGAACCCUUGUCUUUUUGCAUACUCAUGUUUCCUCCGCGGGGUUGCCCGACGGUUGGACAAACCAUAAACCUUUUUAAAUUUUCAAUCAGCGCCUGAACUUUAUAAUAAUUACCACUUUCAACUACGGAUCUCUAGGUUCUGGCAUCAAUGAAGAACGCAAUGUGUUGCCAUAAUUCAUGUGAAUUGCAUAACUUGGGAAUCAUCUAAUCUUUGAACGCACAUUGCGCCCCUUGGUAUUCCAUGGGGCAUGCUUGUUCGAGCGUCAUUUGUACCCUCAAGCUUUGCUUGGUGUUGGGUGUUUGUCCUUUCCCUGCGUCAGGACUCGCCUUAAAUUCAUUGGCAGCCGAUGUAUUGGUUUGAAGCGCAGACAAUUUGCGACUCAUGCUGGUGACCAUGGGCGUCCAGUAAGCACAUUUAACACUUUUGACCUCGGAUGAAGUAGGGAUACCCGCUGAACUUAAGAAUAUCAAUAAGCGGAGGAA